rnacentral:snoRNA from 1 species
UUUAGAUGACGAAUUAUUGCACUGGGCACUGAAAUUGCAUGAGUGACAACGCAUUUAAGGUGGGCCUCAGAAACCCUCCGUGACUGAUAAA